rnacentral:rRNA from 1 species
UACGUAGGGAGCAAGCGUUGUCCGGAAUCAUUGGGCGUAAAGCGCGCGUAGGCGGCCCGAUAAGUCCGCUGUAAAAGUCAACGGCUCAACUGUUGAAAGCCGGUGGAUACUGUCGGGCUAGAGUACGGAAGAGGCAAGUGGAAUUCCUGGUGUAGCGGUGGAAUGCGCAGAUAUCAGGAGGAACACCCGUAGCGAAGGCAGCUUGCUGGGACGUUACUGACGCUAAGGCGCGAAAGCGUGGGGAGCGAACAGG